GACGAACGCUGGCGGCGUGCUUAACACAUGCAAGUCGAACGGAUAGUUCCUGCUUUUGUCGGGUACUCGAGUGGCGAAAGGGUGAGUAACACGUGAGUAAACUGCCCUUGACUUUGGGAUAACUUCAGGAAACUGGGGCUAAUACCGGAUAUGAGCUCCUGCUGCAUGGUGGGGGUUGGAAAGUUUCGGCGGUUGGGGAUGGACGCGCGGCUUAUCAGCUUGUUGGUGGGGUAGUGGCCUACCAAGGCUUUGACGGGUAGCCGGCCUGAGAGGGUGACCGGCCACAUUGGGACUGAGAUACGGCCCAGACUCCUACGGGAGGCAGCAGAGGGGAAUAUUGCACAGUGGGCGGAAGCCUGAUGCAGCAACUCCGCGUGCGGGAUGACGGCCUUCGGGAUGUAAACCGCUUUCGCCGGUGAUGAAGCGUGAGUGACGGUAAUGGGUAAAGAAGCAACGGCUAACUACGUG
rnacentral:rRNA from 1 species